UAGCCUAUUCUUACUUCAAAGAUGCCUGCC
rnacentral:piRNA from 1 species